rnacentral:lncRNA from 10 species
CUUUGUAACAUUCUAGCAGUGAUUGGUCAAGAAGAAUGCGGCUGACAGCUGACACCUGGCUUCUCUUCAGGAUGUUGUGAAUUCGGAUUGGACCAGCAGGUCUGCCCUGCUGUUAGCUCUCUAGGGCAUCCAAGGACAGAGGAUCAUUCUCAAGGCAUUCUUAGUUGUUCUAACUCCAUUCACCACUACAAGAGCAUGGGCUUUGGAAACAGGCAGAGUUGGGCCUGAAACCUGUGUUCAGCCCUUGAUAGCAGGGUGGCUUUGUCUCUACUGAUCAAUCUCUCAGAGCCUCAGCUUCUUCUUUCAUAAAACAGGCCAGUUAAUAAUCCC